AUUUAGGGACUUGUUACCCAUCAACUCAUUGAGAGUUGUAUAAUAUAUAUUAUAUACAUUAGGUAUUUUCAUUGUUCUAAUAUCAGGUAGUAUUCAAUUAGGGUGUACGUAUUACAAUCGUACAAGUGUUAUUUGGUGAAGGGGUUCAUACUAAUCUAGGUGUAGUUUGUACUUCCUAUAUUAGAGGUACUCAUUUGUAAAAAUUUUCUAACCUCAUUCACAUUAUUGUUACAUUAUUUAAUUGUAUAAAUCUGUAAAUGACUUUCACUAGUAUCUACCAUUUCUUGUCAUUUUAGAGUCACAUACUAGUCACUUGUUUUAACUCAGAGAUUGUGAAUAUCUAGUAGUUAUAUUUAAUAAAUAUAUACAUUUAUUGUGAA